rnacentral:rRNA from 1 species
UACGGAGGGUGCAAGCGUUAUCCGGAUUCACUGGGUUUAAAGGGUGCGUAGGCGGGUAGGUAAGUCCGUGGUGAAAUCUCUGAGCUUAACUCAGAAACUGCCGUGGAUACUAUUUGCCUUGAAUAUUGUGGAGGUGAGCGGAAUAUGUCAUGUAGCGGUGAAAAUGCUUAGAUAUGACAUAGAACACCAAUUGCGAAGGCAGCUCACUACACAAUGAUUGACGCUGAGGCACGAAAGCGUGGGGAUCAAACAGG